GCAGUAGUGGUUCAGUGGUAGAUUUCUCAUCUUCCAUGUGGGAGACCUGGGUUCAAUUCCUGGUCAAUGCA
rnacentral:tRNA from 1 species